rnacentral:rRNA from 1 species
UCCUACGGGAGGCAGCAGUAAGGAAUAUUCCACAAUGAGCGAAAGCUUGAUGGAGCGACACAGAGUGCAGGAUGAAGUCUUUAGGGAUGUAAACUGCUGUUGUAAGGGAAGAAAAAACUAGAUAGGAAAUGAUUUAGUCUUGACGGUACCUUAUUAGAAAGUGACGACAAACUAUGUGCCAGCAGCCGCGGUAAUACAUAGGUCGCAAGCGUUAUCCGGAAUUAUUGGGCGUAAAGCGUCCGCAGGUUUUUUGUUAAGUUUAAGGUUAAAUGCUAAAGCUCAACUUUAGUUCGCUUUAGAUACUGACAAAAUAGAAUUAUGAAGAGGUUAGCGGAAUUCCUAGUGGAGCGGUGGAAUGCGUAGAUAUUAGGAAGAACACCAAUAGGCGAAGGCAGCUAACUGGUCAUAUAUUGACACUAAUGGACGAAAGCGUGGGGAGCAAACAGGAUUAGAUACCCUGGUAGUCC